UGGCAGAUUACUUCUGUGAGCAACUGGGUCUCUCAGUUCUUUGGGAGCACCCUGGGAAACAGUGUGGCUAUGACUUGGAGCUGCUCACCAGUUCCAGUCAUUCUGUGGUUGAGAGCUGCUCCCUAUGGAUGUUAAUUCUUCUCUAUUUUAGAUUUUCCACAGGUGUGGGCCCCAUUAGCUCUGGCCACCUGAGAAAGCCCUCAGGCAAAGAGUCGCAGGUGAAAGCCAGCAGUUAGAGGUUCACAGAAAUGAGUGCAGAAGCAUCUUCAGUUGGAGAGCCAUUGCCUCUUGCUGUGAAAUAUUUGGGAAUCUUCAGAAACCAUGAAGAAUAACCUGCUAAAGGCCACCAAGUUCUAUUGAACAUCAUGAAUCCUAUGCUCAAGUGAGAUCAGCUCAAGUGAGACCAGAUAUCUGAAGACCUUUUCAUUUUCGCCACCCUCAAAUGAAGGCAUGCAAGCUUAUGUUGACACAUCGUUCUAGGAAGAAAACAGAACAUUUCUGCUCAUCAGUGUUUUGCAGUAAGAACUUGUGACCCCUAAUUGUCAAUAUAUCCUGUGGGACGGUAGGUUUUAUGCCUUAACAGAGGCCACAUCAGUGUGCCCUCUGCCCAAAUAGCCCUCUUCCCAUCACUUGAUGGGAUGACAUUGGCUAGGGCAUGACCAAUGGAAGAAGGCCAUUUUACCUUCUUCCCAUGUUGCUCACACACUUAAAUGUUCAGGGCUUUUCUGUGCUCUCAAGGCCACACUCCUCAACCAAAUAAGAAAGAACUCACAUGAUGGGAUGACACUGAGUAGGGUACUGUCUAACUCAUUGCUCACCUCUUAGAAUGGAAGGACAACACAUUCAGUUGUUGCUAAUGCCUUAGAAUGAAUAUGUUUGUUAGGUGGCUCUUUUGGGGCUAGUUCAAAAAGGCCACUGACAAGAAUGGGAGGAGACUAGAUCGGUCAUGUUGGGGAAUAAAGGGUGAGAUGAAGGAUCCAUGAAAGAGCCAUACAUGUGGAUUACCUGGGAGAGCCCAUGAAGACCCUGGUACCUGGAGAGUGGAGUGGGCAAGAAAUAAAAGGGCAAUUCAGAAGGGAGAGUGGUAGCCUGAACAGAAACUUCCAAACUGUAAUAAUCAAGGAUUCGGAGAAAGCUUAAUAUGGGGAUCUCCAGAGACUGAAUUUGCAGAACAAGUGAAGCAGCACAGGGGCUGCCGUUGGUGAACAUUCUAACCUUGGUCACCCAGUUAAUGUGCUAUAGCUUCUGGGGAAUACACUUGUCGUAACUGCCACCAAAUAGUGAGGUUUUCCUUGAGUAAUGAGAAGAAAAAUGCAUUCACUACCUCAAUUCAGUACACAAAGCCCGCAAAGGAUAGUUUUACAGGGUUUUAAUAUCUUCCUGAGCUUUUUAAUGAGGGAAACCAAGCACGUCAUAUCUGCUUUGCUGAAACUUUAAGAUUAAUGUGGCUGAGUGCAGUGGCUCACGCUUGUAAUCCCAGCACUUUGGGAGGCCUAGUCAGGUGGAUCACCUGAGGUCAGGAGCUCGAGACCAGCCUGGCCAGCAUGGUGAAACCACAUCUCUACUAAAAAUACAAACAUUAGCCAGGUUUGGUAGUGGGUGCCUGUAAUCCCAGCUACUUGGGAGGCUGAGGCAGGAGAAUUGCUUGAACCCAGGAGGUGGAGGUUGCAUGAGCCAAAGUCGUGCCUCUGCACUCCAGCCUGGGCAACACAGCGAGACUCCAUUUCAAAACAACAACAACAAAAAAAAAAAAA
rnacentral:lncRNA from 1 species